CUUUCCAGCUCCUCCUGGGUGUAGCUGUAUCCAGAGAUUCCUUUCUUCUCCUCGAUUGCUUGCUGCAGACACAAACAACAAAUGCUGGAUAUGAGUCCAUCAACCAAGAAACAGCAAAUUCCUUCCUGGAGACAAAUACUGUGAAGAAGUGAAAAGGGAGCAGUAGGCAUGGAUGAGCAUUUAUAUGCAAAAAAGAUGAAACUCCUGAAGAAAAUGCAUGUGCAAACCUCACCCACCUGUGAACAAAGUGAGAGGAGCUCCCAUGCCCUGUUCUCAAAACCAGACUAUUCCCACUCCUGCAGCUCUGAGACAACUCUGAAUCCUUGGGAAACUCAGCAUUCUUGGGGCCCUGUGCUGAGCUCUGGAAAGUACAAUGGCUUGUGUAAAGGGCUAAAAAUAUCCCAGCUUUACCUAGAAUCACUUGUAAUUGAACCAUCCAGCAUUCCAAGUGUCAACAUGUGAUUCCCUAAUUUUCAGGAUCUGACAGCUGCAGUGAGGAGCUGCCAACUGUGCCCCUGCUCACUGCACUUUGAUUGAAGUACUUAAAAAGACUUCAUAAUCCCCAAAGACAAUUUAUUCCUACUUUUUUGUGUUUGAUGUAAAUGAUUUGGUUAUUCCCUGCUGUUUCUGCUGAGUUUGAGGUGUACAACCUCUCAAAGCCAGUGGAAUGCUUUUUAUGAUUGUGGAGAAAGCAAAACACCAGCACCUAAAAACCUAAGCCAGGCCUGACCUUUUGGUGAAGGAAGGGCUAAAACCACCUCAACUGGAGAUGCAAAUGCUGUUUUGGGAGCAUGAGUUAGGAAGGUGCUGAUUCUUCCAUUGCCAAGUCCUGAGAGUGCCAUGGGAUGCAAUAGGACAGAGCAAAGUGAGACAAGGCAAAGAUGAGAAAUGCUGGGUAUAGGAGAAAAACAAUGCUUUGAUUUAACUGUAGCACUUUGAUAGGAUUUAAAAAAAUCCAUUUAAAUUUAAGACAGCAAAGUUAUUUGUUAAAACCCCCUCUUUCUGCCUUUUUAAAAAUGGAGGAACUAAAUGUCAAACGUGUCACUGGAAGAGGAAAGUGUAAGGAAGCUCUUGGCUGUCAGAGUGUGAAGUGAAGGCUGAAUGGACAAACUCCUGUCCCCAUGAACUGCAGCACUGACUCACCACCACAUUAAUCAACACUUCCUUUGCUUCUGCCUCAAAGCUGGAGCACUGAACCAGAAAACACAAAUCCUGAAGCAGAACAUGCCAGAAACAAACCUGCAGCAGGAGGCUGGCUGGGAGUGAGGAACCCAGACUCUCACUGGGAGGGAGAACCUGCUCAUGCCACUUCUGCUUCAUCACCUCUUCCCUGCCAGCCCUGGCUCAUCUCAGCCCUGGCUCCUCACCCCCCUCUGAGGCAGGACUGCCUCUGUGCCUUUGCCAUGGACUUGGAGGAGAUCAGAAUCUACAGCACCAAGGCCCUGUGCAGCAAUUCUGGCAGCAGACAUUUACAAAGAAUUAAACAUCACUGUCUCCACCUUCCAGAUGAGGAAAACAUGACCUUUGAAACAGAAGUGACCAAAAACCAUCAAGAAUUCAAAUCCUUUCCUAGUCUUUAGGCACAGGAAACACCCUUUUUACUGCUUUGCACUGGUGCCUGUGAGUGCCACUGCACUUCACCUAAGGAAGUAAUAAACAUGAACAGGACAUGGAUUUAUAGAUUGGCUUCCUUGCCAAUACACAUUUCCUUGCAGAAAGUAUUUUACAAACCAGGAAAUGCUUCUUAUUAAAAGACAAACACUUCUGAGUUUAAGCCAGUCUUUUUUUCCAAAUUGCUCAUUUAUCCUUCUCUCUGCAAAAUGAAGACUUGAAAAUAUUUUAAAAAUCAAAAGCAGAACAUAUUUGAACAAAAGGAAUGCAGGCCAUGUCCAAAACAGAUCUUGUCCUUUUUCUGUCUUGAGCCACUUCCUUGUGUCAGACAGUUAACUUGAGUUUUUCAUUACUGAGCCUUUCACAAGGUUGUGAGGUUUCCUUCCUACCCAGUUCUCCUCAAAUUUCCAUGGAUCACUUUCUUGUCUGCUGAAGAAUAGGCACAAUUAUUUCUUACCUUACAGUGCCUGUGCAGAUAAUGUAAAACAUAUGCUGCUGUCUUGGUAAUACAUUCUUGUUGAUUAAUUAAGCACUUCUUUCCAUCACAUGUCACAAAACACAAAUUGUCAGCUUUCUGCUUUAAUUCUUGCUUAAAAACUUGUCAAAGACUCCAGCAAUGUGCCCACUGGAGCUGCAAACCUUGGAGUGGAGAGAAAUCCAAGGCAGUGGUUCCCUAUUAUUGUUACAAAGGGGAAGGGACAGUGUGUGAUGGGAAGAGAAACCAACAUCUUCAUUUUCCACAUCUCUGUGCCAUUCCUCCCACCUGAACUCUUCAUGCACACUUUCAGACUCCUUCAAAAGUAACUGAUUUUGUGGAGCAGCCACGUCCUAUGGGAUUAGGAAGGGAGUUCCUUUGAAAAAGGGCGUUCCCUGUAUUUAGUGGUAUGUAAAAAAAAGCACAAAAACAAAGAACAGGCAAGCAAAGAGUGUGUGCUAAAUGAAGGCAGUGCAAAGACAAUACAUGGGAGAAUGAUAUUAACUCAGAGAAUGAUGCAGAUAAAAUUCUCUUUAGUUUAGUGACUCUGCCUGUAAGUUCCCUUAGCAGGAUUCUUCCCAACUGGGAAAAAAUUACUGGCUGAAGGAAAGUCCAUUUAUUUUGCUGGCAAACCAGUACCAAACUGCAGCUCCCUUAUUCUUCACAAAUUUCUGAAGCAGAAAAAGCUGCUUGGAGCAGUACAGCUGCAAACCUCACUGUGCCUGGGCCACACUGUCUGUGCCAGCCAAGUCAGAGUCACAGCUGAACCUCAGGAGGAUCUGGGAAAUUUGGGUUUUAAGUAAAAACUUUUGUGGGUAAUCAAUACCACAGGACUAAUUGCAUCUCUGAUAAUCACUGGCACUAUGCUUUGUAAGCAUACAGACUUUUUACAUUAUUUACAAUCACAUUGACCUUUAUGGUUAGCUGUUCACCAUCACUGAUGAUAUGUGAUGAUAUUGCCAUUAUUUGGCUGGAAUGUUAAUCCAGCCCAACACUGAGUCCUUGCAUGCCUUGCAAUGGAUCAGGCACAAUGUGAGUGAGAGAAAUUAAUCAUUUGAAAAUAGCUACAAAUCCCUACCUCAUCCUCAGUCAUGGCUAGAGAGCCUCCCAGCUCGUGGGCCUGGCUGUUCUUCUGCUCCACCUGCUUCUCCAGGCUGGACAUCUCCUCCUUGGCAGCCUGAAGCUCUUCUGCCUUGGCUUCUUUCUUCCGGGAAAUUAUAGAAGC